AGCCCCUCCGCCCAGCAGCCGCCCCGUCUGAGAAAAACCCUUAAUCCCAGUCUAAUCAUCAGAAAACAUCAGUCAAAUCCAGACUGGAGGAGGAGGCAUUCUACAGGAUACCUGGCCAGUGCCCAUCUAGACUUUCACAAGAAAAACAACAGAAGACUGGUAAACUGUCCCAGACCCGAGGAGACUGGGAGACAUGACAACUAAAUGCAAUGUGGUACAUCUUGUAUGGGGCCCAUGAACAGAAGGAGAACAUUAGUAGAAAACUGGAGAAAUCCAAAGAGUCUCAAAUUUAGUUCAUAGUAAUGUUCUAAUGUCAGCCUCUGAGUUGUGACAAACAUACCAUGGUAAUAUAAGAUGUUAACAAUAGGGAAAACUGGAUGAAGGGUGUACAGAAACUCUCUGUAUUGUUUGCAACUUUUCUUCGUGAGACAGAGUCUCACUCUGUCACCUAGGCUGGAGUGCAGUGGUGUGAUCUCGGCUCACUGCAACCUCCGCCUCCUGGGUUCACGCCAUUCUCCUGCCUCAGCCUCCUGAGUAGCUGGGACCACAGGGGCGUGCCACCACACCCAGUUAAUUUUUUGUAUUUUUAGUAGAGACGGGGUUUCACUGUGUUAGACAGGAUGGUCUCGAUCUCCUGACCUCGUGAUCCGCCCACCUUGGCCUCCCAAAAGUGCUGGGAUUACAGGCGUGAGCAACUGCACCCAGCCUGCAACUUUUUUAUAAUCAAAAUUACCCCAAAAUAGAAAGUUUAUUUUUAAAAAGAGAAAGAAAGAAAAUGUGGUAGUUACCCACUAUGUUGAUUUUACAACCUACUAAAACAGUGCAAACUGAAGUUUGAAGAACACUGCUUCAUGAAAUUUAUGACUCCUGGCAAAAAUGAUCAGAAAUGUUCGGUAGCCCGUACGUGAUUUUGUUGAAAAAAAGUAUUUCAGAAAGCUACGUUAUUAAUGGAAAAUAUAAAAAACAGUUCUAAAAUGCAA